rnacentral:rRNA from 1 species
AACGAACGCUGGCGGCAGGCCUAACACAUGCAAGUCGAACGAGAAGCCACCUUCGGGUGGUGGACAGUGGCAGACGGGUGAGUAACGCGUGGGAACGUGCCUUUCGGUUCGGGAUAACCCAGGGAAACUUGGGCUAAUACCGGAUACGCCCUUCGGGGGAAAGAUUCAUUGCCGAAAGAUCGGCCCGCGUCGGAUUAGCUAGUUGGUAGGGUAAUGGCCUACCAAGGCGACGAUCCGUAGCUGGUCUGAGAGGAUGACCAGCCACACUGGGACUGAGACACGGCCCAGACUCCUACGGGAGGCAGCAGUGGGGAAUAUUGGACAAUGGGCGCAAGCCUGAUCCAGCCAUGCCGCGUGGGUGAAGAAGGCCUUAGGGUUGUAAACCCCUUUCAGCGGGGAAGAUAAUGACGGUACCCGCAGAAGAAGUCCCGGCUAACUCCGUGCCAGCCGCCGCGGUAACAC